UGCUACUUCGUUCAAUGGUAGGACGACGGACUUUGAAUCCGUAGAUGAUGGUUCGAUUCCAUCAGUAGCUGCCAA
rnacentral:tRNA from 1 species